rnacentral:rRNA from 1 species
UUGACAAUACAAGGUAUUGUAAUAAGGUUUUAAUUGAAUGCUAAAAGAAUGGAAUUACAGGGAAAAGUUUUUUUAAAUUUAAUAAUUGAAGUUAUUUUAAUUUGUGAAGAAACAAUUAUAUAAAUUAAAGACAAGAAGACCCUAAGAAUUUAAGAAUUUUUAUUAAUAUAUUAUAUGUAUAUAUAUAUAUAAAUAAAAUUCUUAGUUGGGGCAACUAAAAAAUAUAUUAAACUUUUUUUUUAAAAAAAUGACCCAUUAUUAAUGAUAAUAUGAAAAAAAUACUCUAGGGAUAACAGCGUAAUAAUUUUUGAUAGAUCUUAUAGACAAAAUAGUUUGCGACCUCGAUGUUGGAUUAGGAUACUUUUUUAAUGAAGAUGUUAAAAAAAGAAGUUUGUUCAACUUUUAAAUUCCUACAUGAUCUGAGUUUAGACCGAUGAGAAUGAGG